CUCGUCCCUGAUCCCUCCCGCCUGAUGCACCGCCAUCCUCAUCCCGCCCGCCUCUCCAUCCCAACCCCCAACCGUCAAAAUCGCAGCGUUGCCAGCACAAAGCGACAUACCUCCGUCAACGAGCCCCUUCUCCUUCCCCGGCGGUCCACGGAGCGUCGACAGGAGACGGAAGGGAAGACAAUCCGUUCAGGUUCUCAUAGGUGCGUAGCAAAGAACAGCUGCGGAUUGAGCCCCGUCCACAAGGCACACCAUAAAGUCAAAUUGGAUACAAUCAACAACGGGGGCCACGAGCAGUUCAAGUGAUGAAUAAUACAGCAUCAACCUCCCCAGUCUAAGGAGACUCCAGUCAAGAUAAAGCCAAAUUAGCCUGCUAACAACCAAGGACUUCAAGGACCUCAACGAAGAUAAGACGACAGCACGCAGACGAAGCAGAAACAAGGCAAAAUCACAAGGCCCCCAGUACAUUCCGUCACGUAUUGUGCGUACUGGACCUGCUUUGCAUGAUAUAUGUGACCACUCCUUUUAGAGGCGGCCUCAGUGGUGUUGACUAGGGAACUCCUGAAUAAAUAGAGGGACGCGGGAGCUGUACCUUAGAGC